rnacentral:rRNA from 1 species
GACGAACGCUGGCGGCGUGCCUAAUACAUGCAAGUUGAGCGCUGAAGGUUGGUACUUGUACCCACUGGAUGAGCAGCGAACGGGUGAGUAACGCGUGGGUAAUCUGCCUUUUAGCGGGGGACAACAUUUGGAAACGAAUGCUAAUACCGCAUAAAAACUUUAAACACAAGUUUUAAGUUUGAAAGAUGCAAUUGCCUCACUCAAAGAUGAUCCCGCGUUGUAUUAGCUAGUUGGUGAGGUAAAGGCUCACCAAGGCGAUGAUACAUAGUCGACCUGAGAGGGUGAUAGGCCACAGUGGGACUGAGACACGGCCCAAACUCCUACGGGAGGCAGCAGUAGGGAAUCUUCGGCAAUGGACGAAAGUCUGACCGAGAAACGCCGCGGGAGUGAAGAAGGUUUUCGGAUCGGAAAACUCUGUUGGUAGAGAAGAAAGUGGGUGAGAGUGGAAAGCUCAUCAAGUGACGGUAACUACCCAGAAAGGGACGGCUAACUACGUG